UCCCACUUGAGCAUCUUCUUCGUUGGAUCCGGCUCCGCGGCGGCGGCAGAGGCUUACCUACCAUGGUGAUGACUACAGGAUCUGUCGACUUGGAGGUUGGAGCGAUGAUUUGCAUUUUGGAAGCAUUCUGAUUAACCUGCGGAUUUCCCAAUGGUGUGCACGCUUGAGGCUUGCCUAUAUCAGAUUCAAUCUCUACUUCGACAUGCAUGGGCUGUAGGUUGUAGGGUACAUCAAAAUUUUGCAUGUAGGACCUGAAUGCGCUAAAAAAUAAAUCGGGAUUAUUGUUACCUAUUAAGGCUCGAUUACUGAUACCUGUUCAGCCGUAGUGGUUGAAGUAAUUUACUGAAGAUUGCUACAAUGCUACCAUAUUAUUGAGACGGUAGUGAUCGCGCGCUACGAGGAAGUCCUGAAGAGAAGGAUGCAAGAAAAGAAGUCCAAUAGUGAUUGUGCAUUGCAGAUAUGAAUUGCAAACUACAAAGAGGGUUGUGCACCAGAAAAAUGGAGCUAGGCUCGAGACUUCUGGCUGCUAAAGGACUUUCACUUGUUUAUGUUUGUUUUGAUCGGUAAACAUAUGAUUGUAUUUGGACACAUAUGAUUAGGUUUGGGUGUAAUUUUUGGCUAUAAGUCUGUAUUGGAUGUUCACUGGGUUGUAUUGGAUGUUAACUGGGCUAUAUUUGUAUGGGCUGCUAUUUGGUAAA